rnacentral:rRNA from 1 species
CCUACGGGUGGCAGCAGUGAGGAAUAUUGGUCAAUGGCCGAGAGUCUGAACCAGCCAAGUCGCGUGAGGGAAGACGGCCCUACGGGUUGUAAACCUCUUUUGUCGGGGAGCAAAGCGAUUCACGUGUGACUCAUUGAGAGUACCCUAAGAACAAGCAUCGGCUAACUCCGUGCCAGCAGCCGCGGUAAUACGGAGGAUGCGAGCGUUAUCCGGAUUUAUUGGGUUUAAAGGGUGCGCAGGCGGAAGGUCAAGUCAGCGGUAAAAUUUCGGGGCUCAACCCCGUAGUGCCGUUGAAACUGGCGGUCUUGAGUGAGGGAGAAGUAGGCGGAAUGCGUGGUGUAGCGGUGAAAUGCAUAGAUAUCACGAAGAACUCCGAUUGCGAAGGCAGCAUACUGGAGUGCAACUGACGCUGAUGCACGAAAGCGUGGGUAUCGAACAGGAUUAGAUACCCCUGUAGUC